GGAUAUUUGGCUGAGCGGUUGAAAGCAUGAUAUUUGAGUAUCAUAUAUAAUUUUUUUAUAUCGAGAGUUCGAAUCUCUCAGUAUCCG